CUUUGUUGGCAAAUCAUGGCUCAGUGCGAAUCCGCCGGACGCGCCGCAAGGUGCCCCUCGCGCCCAUGCGGCCCCCGGCACACCAUGUGCCACCCCGCGCGGUGGGCUGUCACAGUGGACCAACCGAUCAGUGCGCGUUGACAACCAGGAUUACCUGACCACCUGUGCCCAUCCUGCCAACUCGUGUUUUCAUUACUGACGUUUGCGGUACUUCUCUUGGGGUGACACAACGUGCCUUUCAUACUUUAUGCUGAGCUGCUCAACAAACGGAUCUUCAAAUGGCUGUGAAGAGCAUUCUUCCUCGACUGGCACUGAUAGAAAGGUCUCUGCAAAUGUGCACAAAUUUGGAUUACUUCAACACCAUAAAUUUAUAAUAACCAUCUUAUUUGGUGCGGCCUGUGGAAACUGUGGGGUGUGAUGCAGUGCAGCAAAUCAUUACGGCCCGGACAUCCGCGCGCUUUUUUCCGCUGCUGGCAGUGUCCAGCCCUGUGCGCACCACGCCGCGGUGCUCCCGAGGCCAGAGUCAGGUGCUCCACUAACUCGCCGCACUCGGCUCGUCAGGCGCAGGCGGCGCACGUAAAUCACGCAAUUAUUGCACCACAAUAGCCGCUCGUCCAAUUUGAAUGCCGCAGGGAGCUCAAAUGCGUGCGGAGGAGGAUCGAAGAAAAACACGUCGAUGGAUAGAGCGUGCCCUUCCUUGGAUCGUCGGGCUGGCCUGUGAUCAGUGAGGUGGACAUAGCAAAGAGCUACUACCAUGCAUGUGCUGUAGCAUCCAAUCUGGAUCACCUCUCAUACGCCACGCCGCUUCAUGCUAAAAUACCUACGCAGGUAUAGUCAUUCUAUAUGGAGGGAUCAGUGAUCGUGAGGAAUCUCAUCGAUAAGCCAUCGUCCAGCCAAGCAUCGCUUUCCCAGCAGCCUCUGAUUCUAGUCACUGACUUGGUCGGGGCAAUUUCGCAGUCUGUUUUGGAAUGUUGUUAGCUUAUGGAAUACUAGCCAUGAUUUUUUUAUUGCUAGUUGCAUGCUGAAAUUUACUUAUUAUAGUCCUUUGAGAAAAAAAUUAUAUAAUAAUAAAUAUUCUUAAGAUAUGACUCGGGAGCAGGGCAAAGCCGUAAUGGGCCAGAUUUAAAAUUUAGUUAACUAAUGAACGGAUCAAGAAAGAGUGAAAGCUCUAGAAGAGUGAUCACUCAUACUGUUAAUGAGUUAAAUUACAUAAUUUAUUCCAUACAGUAUACCGAAAUUUGAUUUUUUUAUCGCUUUAAAGAUUGUCAAAGAAUUAUUUUUAGUUGAAAUAUAAUGCGUUGUAUAGCAUGCUCUUUAUAUUUCAUUAUUUUUAUAAAAUAACCGGGGAAGCAGCAUUUAAUAUCAACUGAAAAAUUAUUGCAUCCUCGUAUGCUCACAAUUCCAAGACAUUUUUUUAAUCUCUGCACAGCAUUUCCCGUGGGCUAUGAGCUCACUGUGUCCCAGGUCUCAAUAACACCGCCGAGCGGAUAACAUGGUACCCGAGUGGCCACAAGGGAGCUUACACCUACAUUCAGGGUAGGAUAGUGAGAUUAGCGAUCUUCAUUCCCUUUGAUGUUCACAAUUUUACAUCUCAUGCAUAUAAGCGAAUUGUCCACAACCUCAUCAGAGCUGUGCAGGUCUAUUUGUCGGCAGAGAAAACACGCUCUGAGCAGAGCAGCUUUUUCCGCGGUGCUGCCACUGAAGGCACUUGCCCGAAAGUAAUGCGAAUUGGCAAGGUCGUGUUUUACCUGCAGGGACUCGAAGAAAAACAACACAAUGCAAACGAAAUCAACACACGCAUAGUGAUCACGAAAUAUAAUAAUGGUCACGCAGUGCGUACAUGAGUGUAAUUACGCGCGGCUCGCACGUAAUGACAUUCGCUGGCGAGCAAUAAAGGGUGUAUAAAUAUAUAUAUGGAGAGAGAGAGAGAGAGAGAGAGAGAGAGAGAGAGAGAGAGAGAGAGGCUGCCGGAGGAAAAUUCAGCAUAUAUAACGCGGUGCGAGAUAAAUAAAAGCUGCUACCGGGCCUUUGUCUCCUAAUCUAAUUGAGCUGCACUCAAAACCAACCCCCGCGGCCACCUUUUUGUGUACGCGCCGCGCGACGACCAUUAUUAUUAUUAUUAUUUGAGCUGCAGUUUUCGCCAACAAACACACACAUAACGCAUACGCACACACUCGUGCAUGCUAAUGAGGCUUUUGCUCGCUUUUUGCGCGCGGACAAUUCCGCAGCUUCUUUUGAUCUUCAGCUGCGCGGGUGGCCAGGAUGUGAAAUUUAAAAUGAACCCAGUUGACCAAAUAAUUGUUUGUGCGCAGCCUUUUGCUUUGUGUCUUGAUGAAAAAUUGUUCUGCAAUUAAGCUGAUUCACGCGUUAAAAUAUUGCUGCUCUACGGUCUACUCAUGGAAAUUUAAACUUUGGCACGCUCAUGCUAAAUCUCAACUUAUAGUGUUACAUACUGUUCUUCAGAUCUGUGACAGUGGAGAAUUUUCGUAAAAUGGCACUAGAAUAAGAAAACACACCUUUACUUCUUGGUUAUCCUCCAGGAAAUAGCUAGUCAGCCUUCAAUAUUAUGACUUGAAAUAUGAUAAAAUGAUAUAAAUCUCUAAAAUUGAGCCGCAUGUUUGUGUCUCAUCAAAGCAAAGAUUAGAGUAUCAUCGAUUUACAAUAAAAUGUUUGUUGUUAAUCUAAGAAGAAACUUUGGUUUUACUACAGAACCGAAAACCAGGAAUCAAAAAUUCAAUUUAGUUUUAAAAACUAAUAUUUCUCCAUAGUAUAAUGCCAUUAUUGUGUUCUACACAAGCUUGUUGCUCGUAAAUCUACGAGUUUGUUAGUUAGCCGGCAAGAGUGCUUGCCGCGCGUGAAGAGGAAAGAGUUCUGUUUUGCAUGAAUUAAAUAAUUUCUGUUUUUCACGAAAUUAUACAUAUUCUCAUUCUGAAUUAUUCCCAGCAGCAGGCCGAGACUCUCGUUUGAGAAUGUGUCCCCUUCUUAAUAAAUAUAAUUAUUUCUCCCUCUUCGCAACAUGCCUCAGUAUUUUUCUCUUGCUGCCGACAGUUUUUUCUCUUUUUCUCACACGGUUGCUUCUCUCGUGGAUUUAUUUCCGCACGUCAAAAGUAAUUAAGCAAAUGUGACGCAAAUUAUAAUUCCGUCGCUUUUGCGAAUAAAUGUUGUGUUGUGUUCCUUCCUCCGCUUCAAAGGGAGCUCACGAAAUUCGCUGUACAGCAGCCGCGGGCAAAUUAGAUUUCAGCACCUUGCCAAGUUCAUUUAGCGUGUAAGAGGUCAUUCGUCUUCGUUAAGUUAAUUGCAUAAAUAUUAUUGAAACGUUAAAUUCGCUACGAGACAAGCUGCGUGCUAGCAGGCGCCUUUCGGAAUUAUUUAUUCACCAUUAGCGGCACGAAAGGAGCAAAUUUCGGUUGGCUUCUUUUCCUUUUGCGACGCGUUCUUUCGCUCACCGGCAGUCUCGACCGGAAAAUAGGGGCCUCGAGUCAAAGGUCACCGUCAGACGCCUUGUUCGGAGCCCCUUAAUGAGCAUGGAGCACUCAGCGACACGAGCCCAAUCGCGAGAAAAGGUGGCUUAUGAGCCUGAAUACGAGGCCGAGAUUUGAGCUUUUCGAAACGAGAGGUGCGCGCUCGCUGUGCGGUUAAUUAUGCACACGCGGGCGCCUUUCGUUUGUAUGCAAAUCGAUUCAGUUUCCCUUGAAUGUGUCAUCCAGGUGGUGAUGCCAUCAGAUGAAUAUCUGACUCGCUAAUGAUAAUCAGGCCGAAAUAGAUAUAUUUGCAUAACAACUUUUUGAGCAGAGAACAACAUAAAAAAUUGUUCCGUAUCUCUAUAAUAAUUGGUAGCGGAAAAAUUGUGCAAUUCUCAACAACCAAACGCGAAUUUCCUUGUUGCAGGAAAAGGACAACGAUCAAUUCUACAACGAAAAUUUGGGUGUUUGUUGAGCGUUGCGCAAUUUUACCGUGACAUGACAAGGACAAAAUGUUUUUUGAGAUAUAGGCUUUUCCUGAUAAUUUAUUUUAUCCCUGUCAGGCAAGCACACUUUUUAAAUUGUUCUAAAAUGUUGCAAUGUACGUAUGAAACAAACAGCACAGUAUAGAGGAUGUGAAUUUUCAUUUCCCCUUAAACCUCCAUUUCUCUCUCGUUGUGCAAGGAAGUGAAUGAAUAAUUUUUAAUAAUUAAUAUUUUGUUGCAUUGAACGCACAUGCAAAUUGGCAUUGCAGCGCAAAAGUGUUGGAUUUAGUUUUAAUGCGAUUUAUGUUAUAAUUUCCAUGCCCUGAUGAUUGCAUGUGAACUAUUUUAU